rnacentral:rRNA from 1 species
UACGGAGGGAGCUAGCGUUGUUCGGAAUUACUGGGCGUAAAGCGCGCGUAGGCGGUUUUUAAGUCAGAGGUGAAAGCCCAGUGCUCAACACUGGAACUGCCUUUGAAACUGGAAAACUUGAAUCUUGGAGAGGUCAGUGGAAUUCCGAGUGUAGAGGUGAAAUUCGUAGAUAUUCGGAAGAACACCAGUGGCGAAGGCGACUGACUGGACAAGUAUUGACGCUGAGGUGCGAAAGCGUGGGGAGCAAACAGG